rnacentral:rRNA from 1 species
UACGAAGGGGGCUAGCGUUGCUCGGAAUCACUGGGCGUAAAGGGUGCGUAGGCGGGGCUUUAAGUCAGGGGUGAAAUCCUGGAGCUCAACUCCAGAACUGCCUUUGAUACUGAGGAUCUUGAGUUCGGGAGAGGUGAGUGGAACUGCGAGUGUAGAGGUGAAAUUCGUAGAUAUUCGCAAGAACACCAGUGGCGAAGGCGGCUCACUGGACCGAUACUGACGCUGAGGCACGAAAGCGUGGGGAGCAAACAGG